GCAUUUUGAGUAUUCUCUCUUUUGUAAUAUUUCACUUGUAUCUUUGGAGUGGAAUAAAAUUUGGUUAGUUGUGUCCGAGGACGUAAGUAAAACAUUUUUACCGAACCUCGUAAAUUCAGUGUUCUUUUUAUUUUUUCUCUUUUUCUAUUUUUAGCGGCUUUUAUUUUGGGAUAGUAGUUGUGCAAUAAUCGCACUCUACCCGGUCUGCUUCCACAACAUCACGUGUAUUUGAAAUCUAAGAUACACACAAAGGCUAGGUCGGGUGUAUCUUUAUCUAAGAUACAAGUGAUGGGUCAUGUCAUGCGUAUCUAAAUUGUAUCGGAGAUACACAGACCUAAGAUACACACGAAAUUUCCAAACCCUG
rnacentral:lncRNA from 1 species